rnacentral:rRNA from 1 species
GGAUAAUCUACCCUUAGGACCGGGAUAACCCUGGGAAACUGGGGAUAAUACUGGAUAGGCAAUUAUUCCUGUAAUGGUUUUUUGUUUAAAUGUUUUUUCGCCUAAGGAUGAGUCUGCGGCCGAUUAGGUAGUUGGUUAGGUAAUGGCUUACCAAGCCGUUGAUCGGUACGGGUUGUGAGAGCAAGAGCCCGGAGAUGGAACCUGAGACAAGGUUCCAGGCCCUACGGGGUGCAGCAGGCGCGAAACCUCCGCAAUGUGAGAAAUCGCGACGGGGGGAUCCCAAGUGCCAUUCUUAACGGGAUGGCUUUUCAUUAGUGUAAAGAGCUUUUGGAAUAAGAGCUGGGCAAGACCGGUGCCAGCCGCCGUGGUAACACCGGCAGCUCUAGUGGUAACAAUUUUUAUUGGGCCUAAAGCGUCCGUAGCCGGUUUAAUAAGUCUCUGGUGAAAUCCUGCAGCUUAACUGUGGGAAUUGCUGGAGAUACUAUUAGACUUGAGACCGGGAGAGGUUAGAGGUACUCCCAGGGUAGAGGUGAAAUUCUGUAAUCCUGGGAGGACCGCCUGUUGCGAAGGCGUCUAACUGGAACGGUUCUGACGGUGAGGGACGAAAGUUAGGGGCGCGAACCGGAUUAGAUACCCGGGUAGUCCUAACUGUAAACGAUGCGGACUUGGUGUUGGGGUGGCUUUGAGCUGCUUCAGUGCCGAAGGGAAGCUGUUAAGUCCGCCGCCUGGGAAG